UACGUAGGGUGCGAGCGUUGUCCGGAAUUAUUGGGCGUAAAGGGCUCGUAGGCGGUCUGUUGCGUCAGGAGUGAAAACUCGGGGCUUAACCCCGAGCCUGCUUCUGAUACGGGCAGACUAGAGGUAUGCAGGGGAGAACGGAAUUCCUGGUGUAGCGGUGAAAUGCGCAGAUAUCAGGAGGAACACCGGUGGCGAAGGCGGGUCUCUGGGCAGUAACUGACGCUGGAGGAGCGAAAGCGUGGGGAGCGAACAGG
rnacentral:rRNA from 1 species